UGGCUCAGUGGUAGAGCGCUUGCCUAGCAAGCACAAGGCCCUGGGUUCGGUCCCCAG
rfam:Rattus norvegicus chromosome 7, whole genome shotgun sequence.